AGUGAACGCUGGCGGUAGGCCUAACACAUGCAAGUCGAACGGCAGCACAGUAAGAGCUUGCUCUUACGGGUGGCGAGUGGCGGACGGGUGAGGAAUACAUCGGAAUCUACUUUUUCGUGGGGGAUAACGUAGGGAAACUUACGCUAAUACCGCAUACGACCUACGGGUGAAAGCAGGGGAUCUUCGGACCUUGCGCGAUUGAAUGAGCCGAUGUCGGAUUAGCUAGUUGGCGGGGUAAAGGCCCACCAAGGCGACGAUCCGUAGCUGGUCUGAGAGGAUGAUCAGCCACACUGGAACUGAGACACGGGCCAGACUCCUACGGGAGGCAGCAGUGGGGAAUAUGGGACAAGGGGCGCAAGCCGGAUCAAGCCAUACCGCGUGGGGGAAGAAGGCCUUCGGGUUGGAAAGCCCUUUUGUUGGGAAAGAAAAGAAGCAGGUUAAUACCCCGCUGUUCUGGCGGUACCCAAAGAAUAAGCACCGGCUAACUGCG
rnacentral:rRNA from 1 species